rnacentral:misc_RNA from 1 species
GAUGAAGAACGUAGCGAAAUGCGAUAAGUAAUGUGAAUUGCAGAAUUCAGUGAAUCAUCGAAUCUUUGAACGCACAUUGCGCCCGCCAGUAUUCUGGCGAGCAUGCCUGUUCGAGCGUCAUUUCAACCAUCAAGCCCCAGGCUUGUGAUGGAGCCCUGCGGCUGCCGCAGCCUCCCAAAACCAGUGGCGGGCUCGCUAUCACACCGAGUGCAGUAGUUUACUCUUCGCUCAGGGCGUGUGGCGGGUGCUAGCCGUGAAACCCCCAACUUCUCAAGGUUGACCUCGGAUCAGGUAGGAAUACCCGCUGAACUUAAGCAUAUCAAUAAGCGGAGGA